AAAAAAAAUUUAGAAAAAAAUGAGUCAAAAAAAAGUUUGCAAUAAUGAUGAAUUUGAUUGAAUUUUAAAGAGAAAAAAAAUGACCAUUGAAAUUUUUUUGAGAUAUCUCUGCACUAUUAUAGAAGUUGGGACUUUUGGAGGGAUAUUUUUUUUACGACAAAAUUGACAUUUUACUUAUCCGCUAUUAAGAAAAUAAAUAAUUCUCUAACGCAAACAAAUCUGAAGAACAAAUAUGACUAUCACUAGACUUUUGCAGUGAUAAGAGUUAAAAGUUGAACUCUGUAAUAAUAUAUUUGCUAUCGCUAUAUUUACAUAGCGCUGUAUGUUAUUAAUCAUCUUUUUUAACCUUUUUUCAAAAAAAAGAGAAAUUACACUUAAGUCCCUGAACAAUUCAUAUAUUUUAUUUAAACACUUUACACUAAAUUAAAUUA
rnacentral:lncRNA from 1 species